CUUUACACAUGCAAGUCGAACGGCAGCACGGGGGCAACCCUGGUGGCGAGUGGCGAACGGGUGAGUAAUGUAUCGGAACGUACCCAGUCGUGGGGGAUAACUAUCCGAAAGGAUAGCUAAUACCGCAUACGUCCUGAGGGAGAAAGCGGGGGAUCGCAAGACCUCGCGCGAUUGGAGCGGCCGAUAUCGGAUUAGCUAGUUGGUGAGGUAAAGGCUCACCAAGGCGACGAUCCGUAGCGGGUCUGAGAGGACGACCCGCCACACUGGAACUGAGACACGGUCCAAACUCCUACGGAGGNAGCAGUGGGGAAUUUUGGACAAUGGGGGAAACCCUGAUCC
rnacentral:rRNA from 1 species